GCGCCCGUAGCUCAACUGGAUAGAGCAUCGGAUUUCUACUCCGAGGGUUGGGGAUUCAAGUUCUCCCGGGCGCGCCA
rnacentral:tRNA from 1 species